UACGUAGGUCUCAAGCGUUGUUCGGAUUCAUUGGGCGUAAAGGGUGUGUAGGUGGCGCCGUAAGUCGGGUGUGAAAUUUCGGAGCUUAACUCCGAAACUGCAUUCGAUACUGCGGUGCUUGAGGACUGGAGAGGAGACUGGAAUUCAUGGUGUAGCAGUGAAAUGCGUAGAGAUCCGGAGGAAGACCGGUGGCGAAGGCGGUCUGCUGGGCAGUUCUGACACUGAUGCGCG
rnacentral:rRNA from 1 species